rnacentral:rRNA from 1 species
UGGGAACCUUCCCUAUGGUUCGGAAUAGCUCAGGGAAACUUGGGGUAAUACCGGAUAAGCCCUUCGGGGGAAAGAUUUAUCGCCAUUGGAUGGGCCCGCGUCGGAUUAGCUAGUUAGUGAGGUAACGGCUCACCAAGGCAACGAUCCGUAGCUGGUCUAAGAGGAUGAUCAGCCACACUGGGACUGAGACACGGCCCAGACCUCCGUACGGGAGGCAG